rnacentral:rRNA from 1 species
GGUAAUCUUUUGAAACUUCAUCGUGAUGGGGAUAGAGCAUUGCAAUUAUUGCUCUUCAACGAGGAAUCCCUAGUAAGCACAAGUCAUCAGCUUGUGCUGAUUACGUCCCUGCCCUUUGUACACACCGCCCGUCGCUACUACCGAUUGAAUGGCUUAGUGAGGCCUUCGGAUCGUUAGUUAAAAACUGUAAAAGGUUUUUUUCUGAUGAGAAGUUGGUCAAACUUGGUCAUUUAGAGGAAGUAAAAGUCGUAACAAGGUUUCCGUAGGUGAACCUGCGGAAGGAUCAUUACAAAUUAUGGCGAACCUCGCGUUUCGCGAGGUCUUGCGUCCAUUUUUCAUAUUUAAAACGUCCCACUCUUUAAAAAUAA